rnacentral:rRNA from 1 species
UACGGGGGGGGCAAGCGUUGUUCGGAAUUACUGGGCGUAAAGGGCUCGUAGGCGGCCAACUAAGUCAGACGUGAAAUCCCUCGGCUUAACCGGGGAACUGCGUCUGAUACUGGAUGGCUUGAGUUUGGGAGAGGGAUGCGGAAUUCCAGGUGUAGCGGUGAAAUGCGUAGAUAUCGGAAGGAACAUCAGUGGCGAAAGCGGCUUCCUGGACCAGUACCGACGUUCAGGCACGAAAGCGUGGGGAGCAAACAGG